UUCACAAAAAUUUCUCAUUAAAAAAUAAAAAUUAUAAUCUUAUCUUAUUUGAUUAUGUUUGUUAUCCGAACAUCAGUCAAGUUCUCAUUAUCGUUGUUCCUUCAAUCCAUCAAUUUCUUCAACCAAAAUAUCAAAAUUUUUAAUUGUUCGUACGCCUGUCAAAAAAGUAGAGCCAAGCAGAGAUUGUGAUACUACACAAUAAUUGUAUCGUAUAGUGAAUUUCAUUGAUUGUACUAUGACAAACGUGUAGGAGAAUCUUUGAAAAAGGGUAAACCAGCCGCCUAUAGGUUAAAUUACUACCCUCUUCCACAAUCUUCAUACGAGUGAGUGGUAAAAUGAUAUAAUAGAAAAUCCCUCCGUGCAUGAAAGCAGAUCACGAUCAAUCGUUAAUUGAAACUCGCGCUUUUCAAUAUUAUUUUACGAUCUCUUGAUAUUUCUUCACGUUUUAUGCAUUUAUGUAUAUCGUUCUCGAUAUACAUAAUACAAAAUUCGAUAAAUGAUGAAAACGCAGAACUUAAUCAUUAUGACAAAACUGAGCAAAAAAUUCAAACAGAUGUAUUCUAGAACUUUUAACCAAGAAUGAUCCUUAAAUUUUGUGCAAAUCUCAAUAUCCAUACGUUCAAUCGUACGUUAAAGUUUAUAAUUGGCGUUGCAAUUUUUUUUUUCAAAUAUCAACUUUCCCGCGUUUAUGGUUAGAUCGAGAAUUAGAAUAUUGAUGACAAUUUCAUCAUCGAUUGAUCGAAUCGUUCGAAUCGUUCGAGAAGUUUCGUUGGAUCAUGCGCUUGCGCAGUGAGGUUAGAAAUUAAGAGUGAAAAGUGUUCUAUUUGUUUUCCCCUUGUGCAUUUUCAUCGACGAUAAUCAUAAGUUUAGAAAUUGAUUUUUCAAAAACGAAGGAAAAGAUCAUAGACCAGGAUCCUCAGCAUACUGCACGCAUGAAGGACCAACAAUGCGGAAAUACCACAAGUACCACUGAUCACCGCGUAAAUUGCCAUUCCAGCCAUAACUUGUAGCACAAACAAUAUCUCGUAAAUCGGUGAUUGUUGCUCAUUUAUAAUAAUGAAAUAACUGGGACAAGGUAACGGUCUAAUAGUAAUAUUGUCAGCAGUAAUAACGGUUCCCUUCAGAAGGGGAAGGAUCGUCCGAUAGCAUAAACCGCCGCCAUACAUAGUGAACGCAGCGAUCAAGACAACCCUCCUUCCGAUCUUCAUUUUCGAGCGAAAAAUCAAUCGUUCUUCUUCCGUGGCUUGUAUCCAAUCAUGUCUGAUCGCGUGUAAUCCUUCUUGGAUCUCUUUUCUUCGCCAAAUAAUGAUGAAACACGUACGCCAGAGUUGGAAUCAUUAUCAGAAAAAAAAGGAAAUAUGUGAAUAUAUGCCCCAAUCUUUGGAGUGCUUUUAAAAAGAAAGAGAUAUAUUUUCCAUGACUGAAUGCUUCGAUGUGACUGAUCACGCGCGUGGCAUAGCAAAACUGCACGGAAUUCGGUUUGGUAUUAGAACAUUGCGCUUGCGUAUAUGGACUCAACAUUGAAUUCAUAUCAUUGAAACCAAUUUUAUAGAAGAAUAGAAAAUUGGUUGAAAUUACCAGUUUCAACUUUCCGCAAAUGGCGCAAGUUAUUCCAUGGACAGAAGAAAAUUGAGAUACAUAUUUAGAAAUCUGGCGAUAUCACAUUUGCAAUGGUUUGAAGUUUUCAAUAAACGUUUGUAAAGUUUGUGUAGUACAAACAGUUAUUAUCUAGAUGGUAUCCCACCGUCGCCUUUAUGAUCUGGAAAAUAAAAAAAUUAGAACCCAGCAGAACUAAUUUAAUAUAAAAAAUGGAGAAGUCUAAUUUCUCGAUACGUACAUCGGUGAAACCGGUACCAAUCUAUCGUGAUGGACAUUCUUCUUACAUUAUUGCCCUGAAUGAAGUUUAAACGUGUGACGCUUGUCAUGAAAGUGUGCAAAAAAAAACAAAGCACAUAUACUUCAUCGAUGAGAAUUUGACCAACG